AGAGUUUGAUCAUGGCUCAGAUUGAACGCUGGCGGCAGGCCUAACACAUGCAAGUCGAGCGGCAGCACGGGUACUUGUACCUGGUGGCGAGCGGCGGACGGGUGAGUAAUGCCUAGGAAUCUGCCUGGUAGUGGGGGAUAACGUUCGGAAACGAACGCUAAUACCGCAUACGUCCUACGGGAGAAAGCAGGGGACCUUCGGGCCUUGCGCUAUCAGAUGAGCCUAGGUCGGAUUAGCUAGUUGGUGAGGUAAUGGCUCACCAAGGCGACGAUCCGUAACUGGUCUGAGAGGAUGAUCAGUCACACUGGAACUGAGACACGGUCCAGACUCCUACGGGAGGCAGCAGUGGGGAAUAUUGGACAAUGGGCGAAAGCCUGAUCCAGCCAUGCCGCGUGUGUGAAGAAGGUCUUCGGAUUGUAAAGCACUUUAAGUUGGGAGGAAGGGCAGUUACCUAAUACGUAAUUGUUUUGACGUUACCGACAGAAUAAGCACCGGCUAACUCUGUGCCAGCAGCCGCGGUA
rnacentral:rRNA from 1 species